GCCCCUAUAGCUCAGCUGGAUAGAGCGUCCCCCUCCUAAGGGGAAGGUCUCAGGUUCGAAUCCUGAUGGGGGCG
rfam:Halomonas sp. PBN3 contig3, whole genome shotgun sequence.